GACGAACGCUGGCGGCGUGCUUAACACAUGCAAGUCGAACGGAAAGGCCCUGCUUUUGUGGGGUGCUCGAGUGGCGAACGGGUGAGUAACACGUGAGUAACCUGCCCUUGACUGUGGGAUAACUUCAGGAAACUGGGGCUAAUACCGGAUAGGAGCUCCUGCUGCAUGGUGGGGGUUGGAAAGUUUCGGCGGUUGGGGAUGGACUCGCGGCUUAUCAGCUUGUUGGUGGGGUAGUGGCUUACCAAGGCUUUGACGGGUAGCCGGCCUGAGAGGGUGACCGGCCACAUUGGGACUGAGAUGCGGCCCGGACUCCUCCGGGAGGCAGCGGUGGGGAAUGUUGCACAAUGGGCGGAAGCCUGAUGCAGCAACGCCGCGUGCGGGAUGACGGCCUUCGGGUUGUAAACCGCUUUCGCCUGUGACGAAGCGUGAGUGACGGUACUGGGUAAAGAAGCACCGGCUAACUACGUG
rnacentral:rRNA from 1 species